AUUGAACGCUGGCGGCAUGCCUUACACAUGCAAGUCGAACGGUAACAGGUCUUCGGAUGCUGACGAGUGGCGAACGGGUGAGUAAUACAUCGGAACGUGCCUAGUAGUGGGGGAUAACUACUCGAAAGAGUGGCUAAUACCGCAUGAGAUCUACGGAUGAAAGCAGGGGAUCGCAAGACCUUGUGCUACUAGAGCGGCCGCUGGCAGAUAUAGAUAGGUAGUUGGUGGGAUAAAAGCUUACCAAGCCGACGAUCUGGAGCUGGUCUGAGAGGACGAUCAGCCAGCCUGGGACUGAGAGACGGCCCAGACUCCUACGGGAGGCAGCAGUGGGGAAUUUUGGACAAUGGGCGCAAGCCUGAUCCAGCAAUGCCGCGUGCAGGAUGAAGGCCUUCGGGUUGUAAACUGCUAUUGUACGGAACGAAAAGCCCCGGGUUAAUACCCUGGGGUCAUGACGGUACCGUAAGAAUAAGCACCGGCUAACUACGUGCCAGCCGCCGCGGUAA
rnacentral:rRNA from 1 species